rnacentral:lncRNA from 1 species
GGUAUCGCUACAGCUUCUGUUGCUCCAGUUUGCUUGCACAUCGCCAGCAUCCUGUAGGCAGGUACAACAGAAAAACUCUUUGGGCUGUGCUUUCUCCUUCCACUUUAACCACUCUCUAAUCUGGUGUGGACCUUACCUGCCAUAAGCAAGACAGCAACUGAGAAGCACCAGGGAACCAUAUUAUAUCAGAUAUUCCCAGCUGUGAGUCAUUAACUCCAUCCAUGAUACUGAAUCAUUUUCUAGAACUGGGAUGAUUAUGAAGAAAUCCCGAUGAAAUAUACACACAAAUUCCUGGCAAUCAGCGAAGCAGUGACAGUUCAUGGAGCUGCCCUUCACAAACCUUGAAGUAGCUUUCAUCUUGCUGGCUUUUGUCAUUUUCUCCUUGUUUAUCCUGGCUUCCAUCUACAGUGACCCACAUGACAACAAAGAAGAGGAAAGCUCCACACAGAAAGAGUACAAGAAAAGGAGCAAAUCCAAGAAGAAAAAGACACAUUCAAGUAUGACUGAAGUGGUUUAGAAUAUUACCCAAGUUCACUGAGGUAGCUCUGGAAGCUGGCCACCUGAAGACAGUGAGAAAAAGGAAGUGAGAAAGGAAGAACCAGAUCAUCCAUCAGAUGGAAUCCAGACAUGACAAUUAGAGUUAAUGAACCACGACCCAUGAAGCUGCUUCAGCACCUUUUUACAACCCCACGUCAUGGCCUAAAUAAAACCACCAGGGCUUAUUUUACAGAGCACAUCUGCUCUAAAUUCCAAAAGGAGAAACUUUUGAUUCAGAAGAUACAUUUGGUUUCUUCCUCACUUUUCAGUCAUGUACAUUUAACAGUAGUGAAUUUACUUUUCUAUCUGUUAAGUCAACAGA